UACAUCACAUAAUGUGCCUGGUUGAGAAAAGGCCUUAGGAAGAGCCAGAGAGUGCCAGAGAAUGGAAAGAGUAUGACACAUGCCUCGCUGAGGUCGGACAGCGCGUCAGCCUUACUUUCCCAGCUGACUAAGGACGCCUCCCACCAAGCUGCUUGCCUGCUGAAGCCUGUCUUGAAAACUGACAGUAGAUGGCUGUGACUACCCAGAGUUUUUUCCCCAGCAGUUAAUGAACACACAGCAGACGCAUGCAUGCAAUACCUUGGAAUCAUCCCAGAGGCUCCAGCUCAAUCAUCCGGCCUUGUGAGAGACGCCCACAUGCUGAAGAGCCUUUCUGCAGUUCUGCAUUGAACUCUUCAUGUGGCCCCAUCUAGUAAUGAGUGCGAGUGGUCAUGUGGCAAAGACACUUUGAGGAGCCCAUCCUGGGAUGAAAACCAUGGCCAGGGAAGAGGCCACAGCAGAGAGGCAGAGGUGCUGAAACCACUUCUGCAACCACAAGGACGAAAGUGCACCUCAUUGGUGAGGGAGCGCUGGUGCCUGCCCCCAUGUGCACACAGCAGCCCAUAGCUAAGGAGUCACAGAGCUCUUACCUCAAUCCUACCUGAUCAGUUCAGCCAGAACUGAUCUCUCAGCCAAGUCUGUACCCUGGCUAGAAUGUGAUCUUCAAAAUGUGAUCCUAACCUGUUUUGUUCACUCCUAUGACCCCAGCAUCCAGAACAAUGCUUGGCACCAUUGGUAGGCACUCAAAUACUAUACUUGGUACAUCAAAUAACAAAUUAACUCCUCCAUUCUAUGCCUUCUUGGAAGGGAUACAGGAUGGCAGCUGGGGAGAGGAGAGCACAGAAGAAAGAUGAGAACAGGAUCUUAGAAAACUUCCCUGGGGCAUAUUUGUAGGCCCUGACUUACCCAGAUCCUUGGAACAGGAAUUAUGGCUUAGGGAGCAGUAGGCAAGCCCUGAUCAUGGAGCCUGGCAGACCCAUUUAUUCCUUCAACAAGGAUUUAUGGAACACUUACCAGAUGCCAAGUCCUGCUGUAUUCUCAGCCUUGCCAGGCCUAGCUUUCAUACCCUUCUGGCCCUGUGAUUUCUGGCUAGCUGUUAGCCUCUCUCUCUGUUCAUUCAUUGGUAAAUACAUCACAGGGUUCUUGAGAAGAUUAAAUGACAUAAUAUAUAAAAUACUUGCUUGUGCA
ensembl:lncRNA novel transcript